UCUGCCAUCAGUGAAAUAAAAUGUAAAAGAAAAUCAAUUUUCUAUCCUCAGUCACGCGAAAGCAAAACCCUUUCUCUCUUCUUGCUAUUGAGCCGCCGUCGUUGUUGAGAAUUUUGUUCUUCUCUUCGUUUCGCCUUCGUCUCGCAAGAUAACAUGCAUAUGAGGUAUUAAAUGGUUGCUAUAGGUUGUGCGUCCUCUCAUUCAUACGAGGUAUUUAUGAAUUUAGGUUUUACUUUGUUCAUCCAAUAUUCCAAAUAAUAAACCCUCGCCAUUUUAGUGUUCAUGUAUGUGCAUAUUGACAGUUAUUAUAAGAAUGUUCUUAAGAAUCUUAUAUCCCCAACUAUUCCUUGUUGAGUGUCUAUGACAACUGAUUGGGGAAAUUACUGAAUGUUGGUAUUUCAUGACAAUACUUUUGGGCCUUAACACAGAACAGAAGCCUAACAACGGUCAACAUUUUGCAAGAUCCUGAAUUGGUGUUCAUACUAAAAUCAGGGGAAGAUAGGAAACCGCAAUUGGGACCGUAAUAUUAUGGAUACAGUAGCCUUUGCAACCACAACAACUGCAUAGACGACCGCAAUCGCAAUUUCAAAUUAUGAUUCAGGUAUAAUCCAUAUCGCAAAUGUUGCAAGAAAUUUCAUGCCUUUUAAUCAUCAGUGAGCAGAUCAUCUAUUAUAGCAUUCUAUGAAAAUAUUUUUGACUUUUGCUAAGUUGCUUUUGAUGUCCAUUGUUAAAGUCCUCUCUCGGCUCAAAACAUUAAUUUAGUGGAAAAAUUAGUAAUGAGUGUUAUGCUUGUGUUGACCCUAAAACUUACCGAGAACAUGUUCAAGUCUCUCUUUGAAAAGAGUAUUGAAUGGACAGAAUCUGUAACAAAUGAAACUAGAUCAGCCGGAAGUAUGGACAGGGCCAUAUGCUCUUAUGAAAUGGUAAAUAAGCCUGAUGAGAACCAUAUUUAAGCAAUUGUCUAAUGUCUCUAUAUUCCUCAAAUACUAUUUGACAUAAGUGUGCUAUACAAGGUUAUGAAAGUCAAAUGACAUGUUGUCCAAGAUCUCUGGAUUUUUUUUGGUGUUUAAGGAAAAUGAUUCAACAUACAAGAAGAAAAAUUAUGUUGGCUUCCACAAUUGGUGCUUAAUUCUUACCAGAAGAUCUUUUGUGAACAUGGUUCAGUUUCUCUACAGGUGGACUACAAACACCAACAUGUUUUGAAACUUGAAGCUUUGGAAGAAUGCACUAUAACAUGUUUUGAAUACAAGGAAGUAAAGGCAAAAAAGAAUAUUUGAGAUAUUGUUAGAGAGCUGGUUAAUUGUUGUAUAUUUAAUUUUAAUAGAGUUUACCUUUGUAUACUAUUUUGUUGUAGUGAAAUGCUUUAAAAUAAAUAUAAAAUGGCUCUUAUCAUCACUUUAAUAUAAUUGUUAUUUGAUUAUCAAUACUUAAAUAAAAUUGUCUAUUAAUGUUAAUUAAAAUAUCGUAUUCAAAAUUAGUUGGGACUC